UGGGGAAUAUUGCACAAUGGGCGCAAGCCUGAUGCAGCCAUGCCGCGUGUGUGAAGAAGGCCUUCGGGUUGUAAAGCACUUUCAGUCGUGAGGAAGGUGGUAGUGUUAAUAGCACUAUCAUCUGACGUUAGCGACAGAAGAAGCACCGGCUAACUCCGUG
rnacentral:rRNA from 1 species